GACGAACGCUGGCGGCGUGCUUAACACAUGCAAGUCGAACGAAGUGGCGAACGGGUGAGUAAUACGUGGGUAACCUGCCCUCCUUUUUGGGAUAAGCCUUGGAAACGGGGUCUAAUACCGAAUAAAGGCGGAUGGGCUCGGGGACUAUCAGCUUGGUGGUGGGGUGAUGGCCUACCAAGGAGGUGACGGGUAGCUGGCCUGAGAGGGGGACCGGCCACACUGGGACGGAGAUACGGCCCACAGUCCGAAGGUGGGGAGCAGUUGGGGAUAUGGCACAAUGGGCGAAAGCCCGAUGCAGCGUCUCCGCAGAGGGGAUUAAGGCUUUCGGGUUGUAAACCUCUUUCGCUAUCGAACCGGUAGGUGGAGAAGAAGCGCCGGCUAACUACGUGCCAGCCGCCGCGGUAAUUC
rnacentral:rRNA from 1 species